rnacentral:lncRNA from 1 species
UUCAAUUGCUGGUUAUAAUUGAUACAAUCACAAAUCCAAAUCAAUAAACCCAGAUCAACAAGAUGAAACAUAUCAGUUCAAUUGCGGCGUUUCUAGAAGUGAUUAUCAUGUCGUGCUGAUGAAUCUCAACCUCAGCCAAUCAACCGAUACUGCUUCCCACUUGACUUCGCUGCUUCUUCACAUGAGGAAACCCUAGAAGUGAAAUCUCAACCUCAGGGUCAAAGCUGCCUCUUAAAUGGGUCAAAAUUGUCUAAGAAAGUGGCUGCCUAUCAAUAUGGAGCAACAAAGGUGGAUACUGAUCUUGCUGGCUAACGGUUCUGGGAGCGAAAAGGAGAUCAAAAGGCCAUCGUAUGGCUUCAUUAUCGUACAUGGGAAAUUUGAGAUGAAUCUGAUUGAUGAACAAAAUCUCAGUUUACAGCAAUUUGUAGAAUCCUUAACCCUCUGUUUUCUUGAUGUGGACUGUCAAAAAAAAGUCACAAAUCCGGAUUGAGAAUAAAGUUCACGAUUACAUGAACUCACAAGCCAAAUUCGAAGACAAGAUGUGGGCGAAUCUGAAUGUCUGGCUGAUUGAAGAUCAACUAUGGAUAAUCUUUCUAGAGUCACUCACAAGAUGAAAGAUAUUGACAUCGACAUCCAGAUGGAUAGUCAGUUCUAAUGACACGUUGAAUUAUCGACACAAUGUAACCAGUAAGGUCAAAGAAAGAAGUGCAUCGUCGGGUCAGUUGAGCAAUGAGGAAAAGCCGAAUCGUCAAGAGAAUAAAAACCCAGAUGUCAAAGUUCAAAAGCCGAAAGAUGAAGCUUCGGAAACACUUCAAAAAGAGCAUAAAUGGUGAUUACACGGCGGAGCCGCCGGUUCAGAACAUAGUGGCUAAGGAUGUUCACGGGAAGUUGUGGAAGUUCCAGCAUAUUUACCGGGGUACGCCUCGCAGGCAUCUCUUGACAACUGGUUGGAGUAAUUUUGUCAACCAGAAGACGUUGGUGGCGGGUGAUUUGAUCGUGUUUUUGAGGGCGGAUAAUGGCGAUUUUUGUGUGGGGAUUCGAAGGGCGAAGAGGGAUUUCGGAAGGGGGUUUGUCGAGUCGAAUUGUUCCUGGUGGAAUGCUGCGAUUAGCGGGUUUGGGAAUUCCGGGAAGGUGAGUGAUACGGGUAAAUGAUCGAUGGUUUAGAUGGCAGUGGAUGGAGAUGUUGUUAGGAAUCAGUGGAUCCAUCAACAGUGGAUGAACAACAGAGGUUGUUAAUAACAGUGGAUUAGCAGCAGAGAGGUGGUUAGCUAACAGUGGAUCAGCAACAGAGGUUGUUAGUUAACAGGGGUUAGCAACAGAGGUUGUUAGUUAACAGGGGUUAGCAACAGAGGUUGUUAGUUAGUUGGGGUUAGCAACAGAGGUUUGUGUGGAGAAUCGUAUGCAACUGUUGUUUAAUGUUUUUGAUUUAAUUCGCUGUUCAUGUUGUUUGAGAGCACCAAUGGGAAAUUGUCGGACUAGAGGCGGAGUUGUCCGCGGGAAAAGAGAUUCUGGUGUACCCAAUGAGACUGGUGAGUAAGAUUCAGAAGUCGUCUUCUUCUCCAAUGGCUAUCUAGGUUGAUUUCUGUUACAGAUUGGGGUUUUUCAGUGUUUUUGAUAGAAGGUCAUUUAUUGAUCGGUUGCUGCGUUCUCAUAUUUUCGAAGUCGUUACACUUUGCGCAGAUGGAUUUUCAUAACACUGGAAGUGGGCCGAGUUCCUAGAUUAACAGAGGCCUUUGGUUUCACUAUUUCUUGAAUGAAAAAUGGAAGUGUCUUUGCAGAUCUAUGCAAAAGGAAGAAAAACAUGAGCACCCUCAUGUACCCUCCAUUUAAAAUCUGCGUAAAUGAUAGCAAGAUACUUCGAAAAUCUGGUGAGGGCACUAGAGAAUGGUCUUGCGGAUUUUGACUCGCACGAGGGUGCAGCAGGUGGUUCAAGUAGCAAGGUUAAAGUGCAGCAGGUGGCAUCAUGGAAGCCCUCAAAUUGGAAUCUAGUCCGAGAGUUGUGCCUAUGUCGUUUGUCACAACGUCUGGCCCGUUUUGCUGUUUUUGUCCAUGAGUUAUGGGCCCUGUAAGACGAGUAUGCCUAUCGCAAAUGUGUGCAAAGGUGGUGCAACGAGUAGGGAAACACCAUAUGCGAAAUUUGCCUCGAGCCAUUCAAGCCCGGAUAUACAUCACCACCUCCGUUAUUCCAUUGUGAUGGCAUUCCAAUGAAUUUCAGGGGUAAUUGGGAGAUUUCCGGUCGGGAUCUAUACAGUUUGCGGGUUUCAUCAAUGGGUUAUGCUGGUGAUGAUGAACCCAACUUUGAUGAGUAUAUCACUCUUAGCUCCAAAAGUUUGAUUUGUUGCUGUGUACUUGCUAUAAUUUUUAUGACUCUUCUCGUAUUGCGCCACGCUCUACCGAUCAUCAUCAAUGGAACACGAGGAUACACUGUAACCAUUUUUGGGUUAGUCUUGAUGUUGCGGGUUAUUACGGGUCAAGUACGGGUCGAGUUGGUUGACCGUUUAGUUUAAAUGGGUCACCAAGAAUAAGGCGGGUCAUCGGAGCAUGAUUACGGUUGCAGGUUUGAAUGGAUCAGGUCCAACUAAAGGUCAAGAGAUGUGUGGAUCUGAGUCAUGGUGGACGUUGAGGAUGACCGAGUCUUUUGGAAGCGCACGUGUGAUGCAAGUUACAAGUUGAACGUGGAGUGGUGGAGUUAAGUGUUUAUAGCAUAUUGCAAAAUUUCAUGUCAAUGAUUCAUGGCUGACUUCUUUUUCAGUUCCAAAGCCAAUCAACUGGAAUCGCAAACAACGAUCAUUCCAUCCCAGUUAUUUGUGUUACAAAUGAUGAAGAGUGGGAUCUCAAUAACAUUAAAGUUAACAAGGCCAGUUCCACCUCAAAUUAGGCCUUUGAAGCGGGUAACUCGAAAUAGAAGAACUGGGUUUUAUUUGACCUGUUUUAUGUUACAUCUGCAAUAGAAUCCGAUUUUGAUGUUAACCUUCCCGUUCACCGGACGGGUAAAGUACUAGCGAAGGUAAGGAGUCGAUGGUGUUGAAGAAGGUGGAUAGUCCGAAGCAAAAGCAGAAUUUGGGUGAGGUAACGAAAGUUGGGGGGAGGUGGAAGGCGCAAACGCCGGUUCACGAACAAUUUUACGUGCAAAAAAGAGCGGAAAAUGAAGUUGAAAAGAGGAGAUCGUAUCUACCAUAUAGAAAGGAUCUUGUAGGAUUGUUUGCAAAUGUCAACGGAAUGGGGAAAAUUCUUCCAUUCUAAUUUUGUUGUUAUGUAUCCUUUGUCAAGCAACUUGUGUCUUCAUGGAGUUGAGUUUACAUAGUUGACUUCUUUAGAAAGUCAAACUGUGUUCUCACUGAAGAAGAGUGGAUCUCGACACGAUGCUGGAUAUGAGGGUUUGGGGAUCCAGGGAGUAGUGUCGUCUACACGCCUCCAGCAUACCGAAAGAUCAGUGUAAACUCUACAGAUGGUGUUCUUUCAGAGGUUCACUUGAGUCUUGUCUGUCAGGUAUGAGAUGCAGGAUCUUCAUUUUGCGGAAACACUUCUUCAGAUGGUUACACUUUCUGAGGUUUACAUGGUAUAUGAGUAGCAGCAGCCGCCUCUACACUGCUGUUCUAAUUUAUUUGUUUGUCAUGGAUCAUGUUCGUUUCACAACAUUACAAUACCCAACCAGCGGGCCCGGACCCGGUAUAUAUGAGCAUGCUCUGUUGGUUUAGUAUAGAAAUCAUACAUGUUUGUUAUUAUAAUGUAAAGUUUGAAAGCCUAUUAAAUAGAAUGACAGGUUAUGUAAAGUUCAUUACAUGCUGUUCUA